GAUGAACGCUGGCGGCGUGCCUAAUACAUGCAAGUCGAGCGAACGGACGAGAAGCUUGCUUCUCUGAUGUUAGCGGCGGACGGGUGAGUAACACGUGGAUAACCUACCUAUAAGACUGGGAUAACUUCGGGAAACCGGAGCUAAUACCGGAUAAUAGUUGGAACCGCAUGGUUCAAAAGUGAAAGACGGUCUUGCUGUCACUUAUAGAUGGAUCCGCGCUGCAUUAGCUAGUUGGUAAGGUAACGGCUUACCAAGGCAACGAUGCAUAGCCGACCUGAGAGGGUGAUCGGCCACACUGGAACUGAGACACGGUCCAGACUCCUACGGGAGGCAGCAGUAGGGAAUCUUCCGCAAUGGGCGAAAGCCUGACGGAGCAACGCCGCGUGAGUGAUGAAGGUCUUCGGAUCGUAAAACUCUGUUAUUAGGGAAGAACAUAUGUGUAAGUAACUGUGCACAUCUUGACGGUACCUAAUCAGAAAGCCACGGCUAACUACGUG
rnacentral:rRNA from 1 species